rnacentral:SRP_RNA from 1 species
GCUGGGCGUGGUGGCUCACGCCUGUAGUCCCAGCUACUUGGGAGGCUGAGGCAGAAGAAUCUCUUGAACCCAGGAGAUGGAGGUUGCAGUGAGCCAAGAUGGUGCCACUGCACUCCAGCCUGGGUGACAGAGCAAGACUCUGUCUCAA